UUAAAUUGAAGAGUUUGAUCAUGGCUCAGAUUGAACGCUGGCGGCAGGCCUAACACAUGCAAGUCGAACGGUAGCACAGAGAGCUUGCUCUCGGGUGACGAGUGGCGGACGGGUGAGUAAUGUCUGGGAAACUGCCUGAUGGAGGGGG
rnacentral:rRNA from 1 species